rnacentral:rRNA from 1 species
GACGAACGCUGGCGGCGUGCUUAACACAUGCAAGUCGAACGGAAAGGCCCUGCUUUUGUGGGGUGCUCGAGUGGCGAACGGGUGAGUAACACGUGAGUAACCUGCCCUUGACUUUGGGAUAACUUCAGGAAACUGGGGCUAAUACCGGAUAGGAGCUCCUGCUGCAUGGUGGGGGUUGGAAAGUUUCGGCGGUUGGGGAUGGACUCGCGGCUUAUCAGCUUGUUGGUGGGGUAGUGGCUUACCAAGGCUUUGACGGGUAGCCGGCCUGAGAGGGUGACCGGCCACAUUGGGACUGAGAUACGGCCCAGAAUCCUACGGGAGGCAGCAGGGGGGAAUAUGGCAGAAUGGGCGGAAGCCUGAUGCAGCAACGCCGCGUGCGGGAUGACGGCCUUCGGGUUGUAAACCGCUUUCGCCUGUGACGAAGCGUGAGUGACGGUAAUGGGUAAAGAAGCACCGGCUAACUACGUG